rnacentral:rRNA from 1 species
GAGUGAUCGAAAGAUGAAAAGCACUUUGAAAAGAGAGUUAAACAGCACGUGAAAUUGUUGAAAGGGAAGCGUUUGCGACCAGACUCGCCCGCGGGGUUCAGCCGGCACUCGUGCCGGUGUACUUCCCCGUGGGCGGGCCAGCGUCGGUUUGGGCGGCCGGUCAAAGGCCCUCGGAAUGUAUCACCUCUCGGGGUGUCUUAUAGCCGAGGGUGCAAUGCGGCCUGCCCGGACCGAGGAACGCGCUUCGGCUCGGACGCUGGCGUAAUGGUCGUA